rnacentral:lncRNA from 1 species
GUACUUCCGGGUUCUGUGAGUAACUGGGUUUCACCCCUGUGGAGAAGACAGGUGAGCCUAAGUUUUAAACGCAGGCUAGGAAGUAAAAUUGGAUCGAGAUGUAAUUGAAUACGCUUUGCCUGAGACCCACUGCAGGGUUCCACCUCGCUGUGCUCUGGUGGGACUUUGUCAGUGUUCUGGGUUUUUCUGAACGAUCAAAGAAAGAGGGACACUGCAGAAUGAAUUUAGGCUUCCCAGAAGCAGAGGGAUCCAUUCUGGUGAGCUGAACUAAACGGCUAACAGCUUCGCAGGAGGGCUUUUGUGAUUGUUACACAAAGGACCUUUUAGCAAGUCAAUUCCCGCAUACCCAAAUCUCAUAUCAGAUCUCAACGAACCAUAAGGUAAGUAAACAGAAUCAUAAAAAUUCCAAGUUAAAAAAAAAAGAAGAAGAAUUCCAGGUUUGCCGGGAAGACAGCUUAUGGGAGUCUGAACUUUUCUUCACAGCAACCAGAAGCCACAGUAUACACCAGCUUCAAACACCUUGUUCCCAGCCCCCAUUUGCCUAAGAUGGCAUAUCAAAUCUUCAGUAUGCGCCUGUCCUGCUGAGGAAGUUGUUGAACAUGUCCCGUUACACAGCGGCAUUGUGGCUGUCCCUUAGUCUGCUCAGGACACCCGAUGAAGAACCCUCUUUAGCGCUCAGAUUUCACAUCCUCGGUUGGACCAAUAGGCCAUCUACAGAGCCAGAUCUAUGGGGAAACCGUGCAUCUGAAACCCACUAUACAGACAGUGCUGUGGCCACAAAGGCACCGGCUGCUGCAGUCGGGAGCUCACGGAAGUCUCCAUCCCACUAAGCCCACGGGAGCACCUGAGUUUGAGAUGAACUGUGGUCAGAAUGGUUUUGUGCCCCGUGGAAAGGUUAUCCUUGGGGUUUUCAAAUGGUCAUUUCUCUGCCCUCACCUCUUGUUUCUAUCUGAAAAUGACAUUGUAAUACUUAGAUUUUUUAAAAAAAACUCUCGUGUUUCAAGUUCUAUAAACAAAAUCUUACCAUUUGUUCUCUGCCCUGACAAUAAAUGCAGAUUGCCCAAAGGCUGGGCAGAGAGAAAACAGGGCAGCACGUCUCCCAGCCAGGGGGAGGAAUGAGAGAGGGAGUUUCAGAUCACCAGGAGGAGGAGAGGGUCUGAAAAGAUGCCAUGAGAAAAAAACAUCUGAAUCCCAAAGAACCAGAUCUGUGAUAAUAUGCAAGCAACGUGGGAUGGAGCAGGUAGCCAGAUUAGGAUUAAUAGAUCAAUAAUUGCCCAGAUUAGGAUUAAUAGAUCAAUAAUUGCCCAGAUUAGAAUUAAUAGAUCAAUAAUUGCCCAGAUUAGGAUUAAUAGAUCAAUAAUUGCCCAGAUUAGGAUUAAUAGAUCAAUAAUUGCCCAGAUUAGGAUUAAUAGAUCAAUAAUUGCCCAGAUUAGGAUUAAUAGAUCAAUAAUUGCCCAGAUUAGGAUUAAUAGAUCAAUAAUUGCCCAGAUUAGGAUGUAAUAGAUCAAUAAUUGCCCAGAUUAGGAUUAAUAGAUCAAUAAUUGCCCAGUAUCUGGGUGCAGCUUUGUUUCUCUGUGUGGUUACUGGGGACUAACAAAAGUUAAAAGAAAUGCAACCACCAGAUUACUUCACACUGUGAUAUAAAUACAUUUAUAUUUUAAAAAUAGUUCAUUUUAUAAUAAUCGAGGACAUGAGGCCCGACAGACCAGAGUGGAGUCCCUCAUUCCAUGUGACAAAGCCACCUUAUAUCUCCCCUCCAGGAGUUUGUUUUCCUAGACUUCUUCCCUGAAACUCUUAGCACCCUCUCCAUGUGGGCCCCAGGUUAACAGACUCCCUCCUUACCACCUGGUGUCCAGGAAUCAGAAACCCAACUACAAGCACACACUGUAGGUUACCUGACAAUCACAUGCCAUGGGGUAUCUCCCUGUAAUAAGUAUAAGAAGGGGCCCUCACAGUGCUGGACGGUGUUGUCCAUGCCUUAAUCCCUGCACUUGGGAGGCAGCAUCAGGCUGAUCUCUGAGUUCAAGACCAGUCUGGUCUACAGAGUGAGUUUCAACAGCCAGGGCUACACAGAGAAACCCUGUCUUGAAAAAAAAUCAAUCAAAGAAACAAAACAAAUAUGCUUCCUUCCAUCUGCCUAGUGGGCCUGAUUCUCCUACAGCCUCUGCCACACUGUGGUCUAUCCAUGGAUUUAAUAACCGUUCUAAUCAACUCUUUGGUUGUUUUUAGAGUUUCUCUGUAUAGUCACAUAGACCAACCUGCCUCUGCCUCCCAAGUGCUGGGAUUGAAGGCCUACACCACCACCCUUCUGCAUAAUAAUCUUAGUUUUAAAAAGACAAUCCGCUUCAGCAUUGCCUUAAACAGCAAACCUGCAACUCUUUAAUAAUGACACUACCAGGGCAGGAGAGGUGGCUCAGCAGCUGAUCCUCCAGCAGACCUGAGGAGGACCCAAGCUCAACUCCCAAGACCUAUGCCAAGCAACUUACACACCAUGUACCACGUUAAAUUCCAGGUCCAGGGUGUCUGACGCUCACUCUCGGCUCCCAAGCACACCCGUGCUUACAUGGCUAGUGCUCACAUGGACUGCUGUGGAGGCUGACACAAAGAAAAAUUUAAAACGCUCUAAAAAUUAAACAUCUUAAAAGCCUGGACUAGAGGAUUUCCUUACCCUAACCCCACCUCAUGGAGAGAAAGAACUACCUGCAAGGUGGACAUGAGCCGAACCCUGCUCAGUGGGCCUGGGUACUCUGGUCCCAUGGUAUUGGUCUCUAAGGUGUGUGGAGGGUGUACCUUUAAAGAUUUGACCAGUUUGUCCGGGGGAGUUCUACAAUCUUCUCUGUAUAUUUAAUGAAAGUGAAGCACACCACACCCAGUGAGCGUUUUUCAAUUAAACGUUUUACAC